rnacentral:rRNA from 1 species
UUAGUAACGGCGAGUGAAGCGGCAAUAGCUCAAAUUUGAAAGCUGGCGUCUUCGACGUCCGCGUUGUAAUUUGUAGAGGAUGCUUCGGCGAAGACUCCUGCCUAAGUCCCCUGGAACGGGGCGUCAUAGAGGGUGAGAAUCCCGUAUGUGGCGGGCAGUCUAAGCCAUGUGAAGCUCCUUCGACGAGUCGAGUUGUUUGGGAAUGCAGCUCUAAAUGGGAGGUAAAUUUCUUCUAAAGCUAAAUAUUGGCCAGAGACCGAUAGCGCACAAGUAGAGUGAUCGAAAGAUGAAAAGCACUUUGGAAAGAGAGUUAAAAAGUACGUGAAAUUGUUGAAAGGGAAGCGCUUGCAACCAGACUCGCUCGUAGUUGCUCAGCCGGCCUCUUGGCCGGUGUACUCUUCUACGAUCGGGCCAGCAUCAGUUCGGGCGGCAGGAUAAAGGUGUCGGGAAUGUAGCACCCUUCGGGGUGUGUUAUAGCCCGGCGCGGAAUGCUGCCAGCCUGGACUGAGGAUCUCGCUUCGGCAAGGAUGCUGGCGUAAUGGUUGUAAGCGGCCCGUCUUGAAACACGGACCAAGGAGUCUAACAUCUAUGCGAGUGUUUGGGUGUCAAACCCAUGCGCGUAAUGAAAGUGAACGGAGGUGGGAACCCCUCACGGGGUGCACCAUCGACCGAUCCUGAUGUCUUCGGAUGGAUUUGAGUAAGAGCAUAGCUGUUGGGACCCGAAAGAUGGUGAACUAUGCCUGAAUAGGGUGAAGCCAGAGGAAACUCUGGUGGAGGCUCGCAGCGGUUCUGACGUGCAAAUCGAUCGUCAAAUUUGGGUAUAGGGGCGAAAGACUA